rnacentral:rRNA from 1 species
UGGGGAAUAUUGGACAAUGGGCGCAAGCCUGAUCCAGCCAUACCGCGUGGGUGAAGAAGGCCUUCGGGUUGUAAAGCCCUUUUGUUGGGAAAGAAAAGCAGCCGGUUGAUACCCGGUUGUUCUGACGGUACCCAAAGAAUAAGCACCGGCUAACUUCGUGCCAGCAGCCGCGGUAAUACGAAGGGUGCAAGCGUUACUCGGAAUUACUGGGCGUAAAGCGUGCGUAGGUGGUUGUUUAAGUCUGUCGUGAAAGCCCUGGGCUCAACCUGGGAAUGGCGAUGGAAACUGGGCGACUAGAGUGUGGCAGAGGGUAGUGGAAUUCCUGGUGUAGCAGUGAAAUGCGUAGAGAUCAGGAGGAACAUCUGUGGCGAAGGCGACUGCCUGGGCCAACACUGACACUGAGGCACGAAAGCGUGGGGAGCAAACA